rnacentral:rRNA from 1 species
GACGAACGCUGGCGGCGUGCCUAAUACAUGCAAGUAGAACGCUGAAGGAGGAGCUUGCUUCUCUGGAUGAGUUGCGAACGGGUGAGUAACGCGUAGGUAACCUGCCUGGUAGCGGGGGAUAACUAUUGGAAACGAUAGCUAAUACCGCAUAAUAGUAGAUGUUGCACGACAUUUGCUUAAAAGGUGCAAUUGCAUCACUACCAGAUGGACCUGCGUUGUAUUAGCUAGUUGGUGGGGUAACGGCUCACCAAGGCGACGAUACAUAGCCGACCUGAGAGGGUGAUCGGCCACACUGGGACUGAGACACGGCCCAGACUCCUACGGGAGGCAGCAGUAGGGAAUCUUCGGCAAUGGACGGAAGUCUGACCGAGCAACGCCGCGUGAGUGAAGAAGGUUUUCGGAUCGUAAAGCUCGGUUGUAAGAGAAGAACGAGUGUGAGAGUGGAAAGUUCACACUGUGACGGUAUCUUACCAGAAAGGGACGGCUAACUACGUG